GAUGAACGCUGGCGGCGUGCCUAAUACAUGCAAGUCGAGCGAACGGACGAGAAGCUUGCUUCUCUGAUGUUAGCGGCGGACGGGUGAGUAACACGUGGAUAACCUACCUAUAAGACUGGGAUAACUUCGGGAAACCGGAGCUAAUACCGGAUGAUAUUUUGAACCGCAUGGUUCAAAAGUGAAAGACGGUCUUGCUGUCACUUAUAGAUGGAUCCGCGCUGCAUUAGCUAGUUGGUAAGGUAACGGCUUACCAAGGCAACGAUGCAUAGCCGACCUGAGAGAGUGAUCGGCCACACUGGAACUGAGACACGGUCCAGACUCCUACGGGAGGCAGCAGUAGGGAAUCUUCCGAAAUGGGCGAAAGCCUGACGGAGCAACGCCGCGUGAGUGAUGAAGGUCUUCGGAUCGUAAAACUCUGUUAUUAGGGAAGAACAUAUGUGUAAGUAACUGUGCACAUCUUGACGGUACCUAAUCAGAAAGCCACGGCUAACUACGUG
rnacentral:rRNA from 1 species